UCUGUAUUGCGUCCUCUUCAGCCUCACAGAGUAACAGAGAAAUAUUCCUUCAUGAAAUGUGAGAUAUGUGAAGACAGUGAUUUGCCAAAGUGAACUUUGGAUAGGGUGAAGGCUGAACUCCACGCUGACAGGGUCAGCAUCCUCCUGUCUGAGUUUGUUCAGUUCCCAAGACAGAAAUCACGUGUGUCCUGUUCUGUAUUUCAGUACACAUGAGACCCUCAACUAUGUGACUGGUCAGCGUCUGGCUGAGGUCUUACAGUAUUAGUUGGAAAGUGCUAAAAUUAGACACUGUGGCGUUUCUGGGUGGGGAGCAUGGUCCACAUUUCACUCUCAGUGACCCUCAGGAGAAUCUUGAGCUUUGUGCACAUGAAUGGGGGAAACAUGGCUGGAAGUUAAGUUGAAGAUACAGAAAAAGGACCGGGUCGCGGGGGCAGCAGACUCAGCAGAGACACCCAGACGUCCCUCUCCC